GACGAACGCUGGCGGCGUGCUUAACACAUGCAAGUCGAACGGAAAGGCCCUGCUUUUGUGGGGUGCUCGAGUGGCGAACGGGUGAGUAACACGUGAGUAACCUGCCCUUGACUUUGGGAUAACUUCAGGAAACUGGGGCUAAUACCGGAUAGGAGCUCCUGCUGCAUGGUGGGGGUUGGAAAGUUUCGGCGGUUGGGGAUGGACUCGCGGCUUAUCAGCUUGUUGGUGGGGUAGUGGCUUACCAAGGCUUUGACGGGUAGCCGGCCUGAGAGGGUGACCGGCCACAUUGGGACUGAGAUACGGCCCAGACUCCUACGGGAGGCAGCAGUGGGGAAUAUUGCACAAUGGGCGGAAGCCUGAUGCAGCAACGCCGCGUGCGGGAUGACGGCCUUCGGGUUGUAAACCGCUUUGGCCUGUGACGAAGCGUGAGUGACGGUAAUGGGUAAAGAAGCACCGGCUAACUACGU
rnacentral:rRNA from 1 species